AUUGAACGCUGGCGGCAGGCCUAAUACAUGCAAGUCGAACGAGUGGCGGACGGGCGUGUUAUGUCUGGGAAACUGCCUGAUGGAGGGGGAUAACUACUGGAUACGUUAGCUAAUACUGCAUACCAUCGGUUGUGCUCUGGUGGGAUUAGCUAGUCGGUGGGGAAACGGCUAACCAAGGCGACGAUCCCCAGCUGGUCUGCGAGGAUGACCGGCCACACUGGAACUGAGAAACGGACCAGACUCCUACGGGAGGCAGCAGGAGGGAAUAUUGCACAAUGGGCGAAAGCCUGAAGGAGCCAUGCCGCAUGAAUGAAGAAGGCCUUCGGAUUGUAAAAUACUUUCGGCGGGGAGGCGUUAUUCGCAAAGGAAGCACCGGAUAACUCCGUGCCAGCAGCCGCGGUAAUAC
rnacentral:rRNA from 1 species